GUGCCAGCAGCCGCGGUAAUACGUAGGUUCCGAGCGUUGUCCGGAUUUAUUGGGCGUAAAGCGAGCGCAGGCGGUUAGAUAAGUCUGAAGUUAAAGGCUGUGGCUUAACCAUAGUACGCUUUGGAAACUGUUUAACUUGAGUGCAAGAGGGGAGAGUGGAAUUCCAUGUGUAGCGGUGAAAUGCGUAGAUAUAUGGAGGAACACCGGUGGCGAAAGCGGCUCUCUGGCUUGUAACUGACGCUGAGGCUCGAAAGCGUGGGGAGCA
rnacentral:rRNA from 1 species